AGGAAGGAAGGAAGGAAGGAAGGAAGGAAGGAAGGAAGGAAGGAAGGAAGAGAAAGUCAAGUACCAGCUGUCCCUCCACUUUAGUCUUGGCUUGUAGCCUUUGCAAGUUCAAUCAUUUCCUGUCAGGGUGGUAGGUGACUUUGAUGCCAUUUUUAUUCUUGUUUCAGGCACUCUACAACAUCACCGAAAAUGCAUGCUAAACUGUUUGGAAGCAAGCACACAGCCCUGCUUUAGUGCUGCUACAUCCUGUGGGGUUCUUGUUUCUCCCUCUCAUUAAACUCCUCUGUGACUAAGUGUUCUGGCCCACAUGAGUCAAUGUGGUGCUGUACAGCAAAUCUCCGAAAGUUGCCCAUUUCCUUUCUGCUCCAUGAUUUCCAACUGUGUGUUGGCUCAAAUUGCCCUCCAAGUCAGCAACAAGCUUUUCUCCAGGGAGAAGCUCUCUGAUGAUCUUGUCUUGGGGCCAGCACACCACUUUGGUUGAAUGCCAACGUCAAACGGGGAGAGGAUAAGUCUGUGAUUGGUCCAUCCCUCUUCCUCACAUGUGUCCUUCUUCACUCUCACAUCAUGUCUGUCUCUUCCCCUCGUGAUGACACACGCGGUCUAUUAAAUACCAGUGUUUGCUGCAAGGGUGCAGCAGCGAAGUUUUAUUGCAUUUAGGUAAAGGGAAGGCAGUGUUGGUAAUGAGGCAUGCAUGACGUGCAGAAGUCUUCAGUAUCUAGUGGCCAUUGCUGUUGCUGUUGCUGACUCCGUUACUUGCAAGGAUUCCCUGCCAUCUGUUAUGCCAGCUGGUCAAAGGCCAAGGUCGGGUAAUUUUCUGUUUUUUUUUUUUAUUUUCCAAGAUUUUUUCCAUGGUUACAGGAUUCACUUUCUCUCCCUCUCCUCUUCCCUCCCCCCUCCCAGAGCUGACAAACAGUUCCACAGGGUUAUGCAAGCAUUAUCAUUCACUAUCAGGCAGUUUUCAAAGAAGAAAAUACAAAUAUUCCCAACUCUAGAACAAUUCUCCCAAACCCUACUAAGCAGGGAAAUGCCAAUUAAGGCAGCUGCAAGGAUCCAGAAGGAACAUGGCGGUCAUCUGUCUGAGGGCGAUUUUUUUUUCAGCAAAGAGGCAUGCUAGUGCACUGUUGGAACUGUGUUCCAGAAGAUUCGGAGCCGUGUGUGAUCCUGUUGCUAAGCCUGUGCCACAAAGAGCUCAAAGGAAGACAAGAGGGACCCACAUGCAUAAAGAUAUGUACAACAGCUGUCCUAGUGGGGAAUGGUGAAAGGAAUUUCUAGGCAAGUCGGCAAGCUAGCUGUGGAAAAGGUCAUUUCUAAAGCAGUAUCUUCAAGGACCAGCUCACCUUCCUGCAGAAAUGGAAGCCGAGGAAGCCCUAUGGGGACAUAGCAUGGACUGUUUCCUGUUCAACUUAGGUCUAGGGAUAGGCAAGGUUGACCUUGCUUAAGCUUUCUGGACAAUAGUUUUAAUAAGGGAUAAAGUGUGGCUCUAGAACCAUGUUGGCAAACCUUUGAUAUGUGUGCCGGAGGGUGCCAGAGGGGGCUGCUCCCCUCCCCAUGUCCACUGUUGCUGGGAGCCAUCAGGCCAUGACACCUUGACAAAGUCACUCAUGGUAGCUAAGGAGGUCACAGAGUGGCCCUUGGCAAGAUAUGACUGCCCACUCAGUCCCCCUUGCAUUACCUCUCUCAUUAACAUCUCUUACCUAUGGAAUCGACAUGAUUGCUAUUCCCCUCUAACCUCAGAAGGAAUAAUGCAAGAGCAAAAUACCUGUGCUGUUUCCCCAAAAUAUCAGACCCUCAAACCCAAUCCCAAAAGACUCCCGUGGGUUAACUUUUACUUAGGUACAUAACUCUGUAAAACUGCAGCUACAAGCCAAGCCCCAAACUUUCCCACUCACAGAAACUGAUUCUUCUGAAGCCAGCACACAAAUCGAUCAUAAAGGUCCAUACAAAACGUGCAGGUACAACAAACUCCAUCAUGCCUCAGUGAUUCAAUUCUUCCCCUUGAGAAACUCUCUAGUAAACCCUGAGAAAUGAUCAGUCUAAGAUUAAAUCUGAAUUGUGUUCUCAGUACCUCUCAACCUCAAUGGUAUGAUUGUUGAAUUGUCUUUAAGAACUUCUGAUUGAUUAUUUCUUUUUUAUUAAAAGUAAUAAGUAAAUUUCCUUGAUUGAUUGUAAGCUCCUCACAGGGUGAUGAGAAAAUUAAGCCACCUGUGAUUGAACUCAUUUCUCUUGUGUGAAACCUUUAUUCUUUCAAGAAUCUGUAAUCAUAAUACAAGAAUAUUAGAAUGUUAAUUGAGUGAUUUGUUAAAACUUAAUGUAUCACUUUUCCAAUUAUCUCUAUUUAGAUAUGUGUGUUAGGUAAUGUAUCUGUGUGCCAAGAAAAUGGUUAUAAAAAUAAACACCAGGCCUGGGGAUGGUGAAGCAGCUAUCAGGUGCAAAGCAUGACCAUGGCCAUAAAAUAUA